GCCGACGUAGCUUAAUUGGUGGAGCAGCGGUUUUGUAAACCGCAGGUCAUAGGUUCGAUCCCUAUCGUCGGCU
rnacentral:tRNA from 1 species